UACGGGGGGGGCGAAGCGUUGUUCGGAAUUACUGGGCGUAAAGGGCUCGUAGGCGGCCAACUAAGUCGGACGUGAAAUCCCCAGGCUCAACCUGGGAACUGCGUCCGAUACUGGAUGGCUUGAAUUCGGGAGAGGGAUGCAGAAUUCCAGGUGUAGCGGUGAAAUGCGUAGAUAUCUGGAGGAAUACCGGUGGCGAAGGCGGCAUCCUGGGCCGAAAUUGACGCUGAGGAGCGAAAGCGUGGGGAGCAAACAGG
rnacentral:rRNA from 1 species